UGUAUUCUUUUUCAAAUGUUACGAAGCGAUGAACCCGCAAAGGUCGAUGUGUCAAUUUGCCUUCCGUAACUAAGCCCUCAACGUUCCACUAUUACAGCAUAGGCCUACUCGUGUAAUUGCGGAUUCUUCCGGGUUCGGAGAGAAAGUUGUGUUGACCCCUCAUGUUGCAGAGAGGGAUUCGUUGAGUAUAUAAGGUGAGCAACUACUAUGAGCAUUCACCACAUCUGUUUUGACCACCUUCCAGUUACAACUCUCAAGACCCUCACAACUUUUAAAAAUGAUGAAACUAGCCAUCCUCGUGUUCUGCGUCGCUGCCGCUACCGCUGGCAUUAUUCCGUCUCCCGUUGAAUCCGCUGCUUCCAAUGUCGAAGCUGAUAUGGAAGCAGCAGCCACGCAUCAUCAUGGCCUGUAUGAGAGAAACAUCGGCAUCUACGCUGGUGCCUUGCCUUCAGUUUAUCCCUCUUACCCAGAACCUUACUACCCAAGCUAUUCUCCAGGUUAUGUUCCUACCGGUUACGGAUAUCCUUACCGACCCUAUCCAAGCUAUGGAGUUGGUGUAUUUGCAGGCUGAUAAUUUUUCACUGGCAGGCUUAUUUCUAAAUGCUGCAUCUAGCAAAGUCUUUGCAAAACAGUGGAAUACUCAAAAAUGGGCUCUCUCUGAGAAUAUGCAACUUGCUAGAAAUACAAUCGUUGAAAACACAAA